ACAACACCAGAAGAAGAAGAACGUCAUUUCCGGUACCUUUAUCCCCUCUAGUGUAUGUGCAGCUCUUAUGAGCAGCUAAAAAUGUAAAUAAACUUUUUUGUCAAAGUUUUUUGUAACCUCUACGACUUCGCAAAUAUGUUUUCUUCCCUAUGGAGCUUUGUUAAACGCCAUAAGAAGAAAUUUAUUUUCACGGGAGUGAUGGUUUCAGGAGUUUACCUGCUGGGUAAAUACGCCCAGAAGAAGCUGAAGGAGGUCCAGGAGAAGGAGGCUGCAGAGUACAUCGCUCAGGCCAGAAGGCAGUUCCACUUUGACAGCAACCAGAGAACCUGCAACAUGACGGUGUUGUCCAUGCUCCCCCCACUCCGAGAGGCCAUUAUGACCCAUCUGAACUCAGAGAGUCUGACUACACUGCUGAAAACCAAACCAGCCAACAAGUUGGAGAUCUGGGAGGAUCUGAAGAUUAUUAGUUUUACACGGACCAUAGUAGCUGUGUACAGCACCUGUAUGCUUGUGGUUCUGCUCAGAGUCCAGCUCAACAUCAUUGGGGGGUACCUGUACCUGGAUAACUCUGCAGGCAGGAGCCCAACGACGCCUCUGGCUCCUCCAGACGUCCAGCAGCAGUACCUGUCCAGCAUCCAACACCUGCUGGGAGACGGUCUGAUGGAACUGAUCAGUGUGGUGAAGAGGGCAGUGCACAGCUCCUUAUCGGGCGUGUCCCUGAAGCAGAGCCUGUCCCUGCUGGACAUGGAGCAGCAGCUCAGCUGGAUCAGAGCCGAGGUGGAGGGGCCUUCUGGGCGCCCGCUGUCCUGGUACCUGCUGUCUGAUGAUGAGAGCGCGCUCGCUGAUCAGGCGUGCGGACUCACGGAGUACGACGUCAUGACCAUCAGACUGCUGAACGAGACGCGGGACAUGCUGGACAGUCCAGACUUCUCUGCCGUGCUCGCCGCCUGCCUGAACCGGGCUUUCUCUCGUCUUCUUGACAACCUGGCAGAGUUUUUCCGCCCGCCUCAGGGUGGCUCCACCCCCUCCUCUGCACCUGACAGAGCCGUUCUCACCUGUGACUGUCUCUGUGCUCAGCCUGUCUGUGGUCAGUCUCCCUCUGGCUAAGAUCGUCCCCAUAGUCAACGGUCAGAUCAACAACAUCUGCAGCGACGCCCCCAGCCCCUUCGUGCAGGACCUGUUGAUGAGCGACCACAUGAAGAAGUUUGCUGCCAACGUUUACGAGACCUUCAGCACGCCACAGGAGCUGCAGAAAUGACCUGAACUGGCUGCACAUGCUGACCCCGUCUCCUUCAACAGUCGCCUUGAAUGAGAGAUCGUUUGAAGCAAAGCCUACAGCCCCCAGCUGAGUGUGGCCGUCAGACCCGCUCUCCUGUGGACUUAUGCUUCAGCGCGUUCCGACUGGAGCCGACCUGAACACUAAUUCUGGUGAAAGUUUCCCUCAGAGUUGUGGAGGCUGCAGAGCUGUGGGAGGCUGUGCCGCAGCGUCCUAUAAGAAAUUCUGAGCGAUGGUUGGGGGUGAAGGUUAUCUGUCCCAUCUGUUUGUAAUUUUUAAUAAAAGUUUUGUCUGUA